CCCUACGGGGGGCAGCAGUGGGGGAUAUUGGACAAUGGGGGAAACCCUGAUCCAGCGACGCCGGGUGAGUGAAGAAGUAUUUCGGUAUGUAAAGCUCUGUCUUCAGGGACGAUAAUGACGGUACCUGAGGAGGAAGCCACGGCUAACUACGUGCCAGCAGCCGCGGUAAUACGUAGGUGGUGAGCGUUGUCCGGAUUUACUGGGCGUAAAGGGAGCGUAGGCGGACUUUUAAGUGAGAUGUGAAAUACUCGGGCUCAACUUGAGUGCUGCAUUUCAAACUGGAAGUCUAGAGUGCAGGAGAGGAG
rnacentral:rRNA from 1 species